rnacentral:rRNA from 1 species
CAGUAGCCGCGGUAAUACGAGGGGGGCGAGCGUUGUUCGGAAUUAUUGGGCGUAAAGCGCACGUAGGCGGAUUUUUAAGUCAGGGGUGAAAUCCCGAGGCUCAACCUCGGAACUGCCUUUGAUACUGGAGAUCUCGAGUUCGGAAGAGGUUGGUGGAACAGCUAGUGUAGAGGUGAAAUUCGUAGAUAUUAGCUAGAACACCAGUGGCGAAGGCGGCCAACUGGUCCGAUACUGACGCUGAGGUGCGAAAGCGUGGGGAGCAAACAGGAUUAGAUACCCGGGUAGUCCCUGUCUCUUAUAC